rnacentral:rRNA from 1 species
UCUUGGUUGUAAAUUAAAUUAAAUUUACCAGAGUACUAUGAAUACUAUAAAAUUUAAAACUCAAAGGACUUGGCGGUGUUUUAGACCACUCAGGGGAACCUGUCUCGUAAUCGAUAGUCCGCGUUAUACCUAACCUUUUUUUGUUUUCAGCCUGUAUACCGUUGUCGUCAGGUAACUUUUAAGGAAUCAAAAGUUAGCUAAAAAUAGUGAAUUUAAACGUCAAAUCAAGGUGCAGCUAACGAAAAGGCGAAGAUGGGUUACAAUUACUAAAUCGUAAUUAUGGAAAAUCAUAUGAAUUGGUGAUUAAGAAAGAGGACUUGGAAGUAAAUUGGAUUAUAAAGAUAAUUUGAAUAGGGCUCUGAAAUGCGCACACAUCGCCCGUCGCUCUUGUUGGAAAAUAAGAUAAGUCGUAACAUAGUAGGGGUAAUGGAAAUUGUUCCUAAACU